rnacentral:sRNA from 1 species
UUCUUGUACAUUUCAAUCAUAAGUAGAUAUGGCUAAAUUUAACUCUCAGAUUACUACGCUAUUCAUUGUUGUAGCUUUGGUGUGUGCAUUUGUUCCAACUUUCUCAGUCAAAGAAGCUGAAGCAAAUUUAUUAUGGAAUACUUGUCUUGUUAAAUUCACUCCUAAGUGUGCGUUAGAUAUAAUUGCUGCUGUCUUCGAAAAUGGAACAAUGUCUGAUCCUUGUUGCAACGAUCUUGUCAAAGAAGGAAAAGUGUGUCACGAUACGCUUAUUAAAUAUAUUGCAGAUAAACCCAUGUUAAUUGCUCACGAAACAGAAUACUUGAAGAAGAGUGAUGACUUGUGGAAACAUUGUGUCUCAAUCUCCAAAAGUGCUUGAAAUGUAUAUUGCGUGUACUAUUUUCACCCAAUAAAUUGAUUGUUUUCUGUUGUUAUAGUUUUCUUCACACAAGCCUUUAUAUUUUAACUUAACAACAAUUUUAACCAAAGCGAAUUUCUUUCUUAAAAA